GGUUAAUUCGAUGCAACGCCGAAGAACCUUACCAGGUCUUGACAUCUGUAGAAUCCGGUUGAAAGAUCGGAGUGCCUUCGGGAGCUACAAGACAGGUGGUGCAUGGUUGUCGUCAGCUCGUGUCGUGAGAUGUGGGUUAAGUCCCGCAACGAGCGCAACCCUUGCUAUUAGUUGCUAACAGGUAGAGCUGAGCACUCUAAUGGGACUGCCCGUGACAAGCGGGAGGAAGGUGGGGAUGACGUCAAAUCAUCAUGCCCUUUAUGAUCUGGGCUACACACGUGCUACAAUGGAUGGUACAGAGAGCAGCGAGGCCGCGAGGUGGAGCGAAUCUCAAAAAGCCAUUCUCAGUUCGGAUUGCAGUCUGCAACUCGACUGCAUGAAGUCGGAAUCGCUAGUAAUCGCGAAUCAGCACGUCGCGGUGAAUGCGUUCCCGGGCCUU
rnacentral:rRNA from 1 species